rnacentral:rRNA from 1 species
UUGGUCAAUGGACGCCAGUCUGAACCAGCCAUGCCGCGUGAAGGAUGAAGGUCCUCUGGAUUGUAAACUUCUUUUAUCUGGGACGAAAACGGGAUUUUUAUCUCAAUUGACGGUACCAGAGGAAUAAGCACCGGCUAACUCCGUGCCAGCAGCCGCGGUAAUACGGAGGGUGCGAGCGUUAUCCGGAUUUACUGGGUUUAAAGGGUGCGUAGGUGGGCUUAUAAGUCAGUGGUGAAAUCUCCGAGCUUAACUUGGAAACUGCCGUUGAUACUAUAGGUCUUGAAUUAUCUGGAGGUAAGCGGAAUAUGUCAUGUAGCGGUGAAAUGCUUAGAUAUGACAUAGAACACCAAGUGCGAAGGCAGCUUACUACAUAUAAAUUGACGCUGA